CGCCCCGUCACCGGGCGAGGGCCGACGUCCGCGUGCAGCCGUGGGCGUGCGCCCCGCGGCUCCUCGCGCCGCCUCGCCGACCCCCCGGGGCCCGCCCGUCGUGAGAAACUUCACGGCGGUACUUAGGGAGUGGCCACUAAGAUCGCCCUGAGACGGGGCUGGACGGUCUGGCGGGAGACUCAGCUUGUCAUUGCAUGUCAUUCUAGCAUUUCUUCUAUUAAAAGGAAACUUGUUUUACCACGUGUA